UUUUUUUUUUUUUUUUUUUUUUUUCCUGAGUGAAUUUGCUUCAGAAGAGUCUGAGCUUUUCGCUUGGUUUAAAUACACUUUGGGCUUGAAAUGGGGAGUCAAGGUCAGCAGCCUGUAAUUUCAGAAGUAUUCAAGGAUGAUUCCUGUGUUCUUGCAGCCUAUCUUAAAGGCGAGAAACUUGCUUGGGGGACCAAAUUGUGUCCCCGAAAGCGCUUCCCCUGCCUGGAGCGCUGCAGCUCCCCCACAGCCCAGGCUCCCGCGGGGCCGGGAGGGGACGAUGCUCCUGCAUCUGUGCCUCGAGUGCCAAAUUCUGGUGGCAGCUGUUUGGGGCGAAGGGAGCGCUUCUCCCCUGACCUGUGUGGUGCCCUCUGACCCUCCACGAAUCCCUAAAAGCGGCGGUCCCCCGGGGCCACGGCACACGAGUCCCCUUUGUUCGCGGAGCUGGAGCCGCCGGCCUGGGCUGGACCCGACCUGGCGGGGAUGGGCUCGGGUUUAUCUCAUCUCCAGGGGAGAUGGGCUCGGGUUUAUCUCCAGGGGAGAUGGGCUCGGACUAUCGGGGAGCGUUCUCUGCUUCUGAACGCAUCGGCCAAGGCUGCAGCCAGAGGGAAUUCCGCCCCCUCCCCUUCCGCCCCUGCCCAGCCUUUAGGAACAUACGUAGGAACGGUAUUGCCAGAAAUUAUCUUGGUACAAAGAGGGGGCUUUUAUUCCAGGAAAUGUACCCACGCCUAUUGCAAAGUGGUAAAAAAGCCGCACUCUAUUAUGCCUUACCAUCACAUAUAUAUAUUUACAGUAGUAUACUUACUAUCUAUUUAUCUUACAUGGUCUGUUUUUCACAUUUUUUUUAGUAUUUUUAAAAAUAUCUUGCCCUCUUUGGGCUUUUUAAUACAGAGAAAUUGCAUGUCAGAGAUGCUAAGAUUAUAUCUUGAAAGAUUAGUCUCCACCCUCUAGCUCCGUCAAAGUGCUGUUGCUUUUAUCUAACGUUAAAAUAACGCCAACCUCGCCUUUUGCUAACCUGGCAAAAUCAUUUCCUGCAUAUUUAUCAAUUUGGAGAGGUGGGUUAGCAUGGCAAAUUUCCUUGAACAAAGAUUGGAUGAGAUGUAUUAGUUCAUCCAAUACCAUGUCUGUCACUUAUGUAGACAGAAUAAAUCUGAGUCCCGGUUUUGCCCUCAAUCGUGCCUGAAUUAAGGAUACAUUUUAAUGAAAGUUUCAUGGGAAGAUUUAAAUUUGAGAUUCUUUUUGGAGAGAACUGUAUAAAACUACGUGAAAA
rnacentral:lncRNA from 1 species